rnacentral:rRNA from 1 species
AACGAACGCUGGCGGCAUGCCUAACACAUGCAAGUCGAACGAGACCUUCGGGUCUAGUGGCGCACGGGUGCGUAACGCGUGGGAACCUGCCCUUAGGUUCGGAAUAACUCCCCGAAAGGGGUGCUAAUACCGGAUAAUGUCUUCGGACCAAAGAUUUAUCGCCUUUGGAUGGGCCCGCGUUGGAUUAGCUAGUUGGUAGGGUAAAAGCCUACCAAGGCGACGAUCCAUAGCUGGUCUGAGAGGAUGAUCAGCCACACUGGGACUGAGACACGGCCCAGACUCCUACGGGAGGGAGCAGUGGGGAAUAUUGGACAAUGGGCGAAAGCCUAAUCCAUCAGUGCCGCGUGAGUGAUGAAGGCCUUAGGGUUGUAAAGCUCUUUUACCCGGGAUGAUAAUGACAGUACCGGGAGAAUAAGCUCCGGCUAACUCCGUG